GGUGGGUUGGCCGAGCGGUCGAAGGCAACGGUCUUGAAAAUCGUCGGGCUGGCGACAGCUCCCUGGGUUCGAAUCCCAGACCCACCACCA
rnacentral:tRNA from 1 species